rnacentral:lncRNA from 1 species
CGGCAAUGUGAUACCUAUGACUCUGCUUCCAUGUGCUUUUGGUUAUGUUUUGAUGAAUGUCGCCAUUGUAAAGGGGAGAGAGACUCUCUUAACUUUAGGCAAUGGAGAUAAAAACUCUCAGAAUGUUCUCUGACUAUGCCAAUAUUGAUAUAGCCCGAGGAGUGUAUCCCGAGGACUCGAUCUAUACCCCACCUAAAUUCUCUUCUUCGGUCCUCGAGGUCAACUAAGUCCUGGAGAUAUUGUAGUCCUCGAGGUAUCUCGAGGACCUAUUUACAUUCCCUCAAUGUCCUCGAGAAUAGUCCUCGAGACAUACACCACCAACAUACCUCCUAAGACCUGGGUACCUAACUAACAAACCUAAACACCCAAGGAUUCUACAUCAACCCUAACACCACUUGUCAAACAAUUCCAUUUCAAGUAGGACAUUCUUUAUAAUAGAAAUUCCCUUGGAUAAAAACAUCCAACCAACACAAUCCUACUAGGAGUACACUACCUACUCCUAUAAAAGCAGAACCUUGGGCCAUUAUUCAGGUACGUUUUUCUCAUUGUUCUUCAGCAUAUAGCCUCACGCAUAUAUUUUCCUUUCUGACUUAAGCAUCGGAGGGGCGACGAGAACACACCUCGUUGCCUUUGUUUCAGGUAUCGGAAGAUCACG